UCUGGGAAACUGCCUGAUGGAGGGGGAUAACUACUGGAAACGGUAGCUAAUACCGCAUAACGUCGCAAGACCAAAGAGGGGGACCUUCGGGCCUCUUGCCAUCGGAUGUGCCCAGAUGGGAUUAGCUUGUUGGUGGGGUAACGGCUCACCAAGGCGACGAUCCCUAGCUGGUCUGAGAGGAUGACCAGCCACACUGGAACUGAGACACGGUCCAGACUCCUACGGGAGGCAGCAGUGGGGAAUAUUGCACAAUGGGCGCAAGCCUGAUGCAGCCAUGC
rnacentral:rRNA from 1 species